rnacentral:rRNA from 1 species
GCGCCUGGGGAUGAGCCUGCGGCCCAUCAGCUUGUUGGCGAGGUAAAAGCUCACCAAGGCUACGACGGGUAGCUGGUCUGAGAGGAUGAACAGCCACACUGGAACUGAGACACGGUCCAG